rnacentral:rRNA from 1 species
GACGAACGCUGGCGGCGUGCUUAACACAUGCAAGUCGAACGGAAAGGCCCUGCUUUUGUGGGGUGCUCGAGUGGCGAACGGGUGAGUAACACGUGAGUAACCUGCCCUUGACUUUGGGAUAACUUCAGGAAACUGGGGCUAAUACCGGAUAGGAGCUCCUGCUGCAUGGUGGGGGUUGGAAAGUUUCGGCGGUUGGGGAUGGACUCGCGGCUUAUCAGCUUGUUGGUGGGGUAGUGGCUUACCAAGGCUUUGACGGGUAGCCGGCCUGAGAGGGUGACCGGCCAAAUUGGGACUGAGAUACGGCCCAGACUCCUACGGGAGGCAGCAGUGGGGAAUAUUGCACAAUGGGCGGAAGCCUGAUGAAGAAAAGCAGCGUGCGGGAUGACGGCCUUCGGGUUGUAAACCGCUUUCGCAUGUGACGAAGCGUGAGUGACGGUAAUGGGUAAAGAAGCACCGGCUAACUACGUG